GCAUUCCCACAGCCUCUUCUGGGGCUGGCAAGGCUCAGAGAGGCAUUUGAAAUGGCUAUUAUUGACACCCAUAGACUUGGUCCGGAAUGGAGACAGAAGAAAGAUUCGGUUGAAGAUGUCCCUGUGUGGAUCUCAGUUUGCGCUCUGAGCGACGUCCUGGCUCAUUUGGGUGUGACGGUGAGAGCAGAGGCGCUCUGCUGACAGUUUUUUCUUGUCUAAGCUUCCAUUCCGCAUCCACAAUAUGACUCGCCUUCCACUCCAGUUAACUUCUUGGAAGUCCAGAGCACUUAGUCAAAGCUGUUUACAAAAUGCAAAGCAUCUGGGCGGCCAAGGCAGAGGCUCCUGUGUUCUCUAUGUA
rnacentral:lncRNA from 1 species